AUUUAAAUAGUUUAAUAAAAAAUAUUGAUUUGUGGAAUCAAAGAUAUGGUUUUCAUUUUAGAUA
rnacentral:tRNA from 1 species